CAGUAGCCGCGGUAAUACGAAGGGUGCAAGCGUUAAUCGGAAUUACUGGGCGUAAAGCGUGCGCAGGCGGUUUGUUAAGACAGAUGUGAAAUCCCCGGGCUCAACCUGGGAACUGCAUUUGUGACUGGCAAGCUAGAGUGUGGCAGAGGGGGGUGGAAUUCCGCGUGUAGCAGUGAAAUGCGUAGAUAUGCGGAGGAACACCGAUGGCGAAGGCAGCCCCCUGGGCCAACACUGACGCUCAUGCACGAAAGCGUGGGGAGCAAACAGGAUUAGAUACCCCAGUAGUCCCUGUCUCUUAUAC
rnacentral:rRNA from 1 species